GAACUUGCUUCACUGAGAGGCCAAGUGAUACUCAUAGUCAUACAACCUUACAAGGAGAAGUAGAGGUUCAUUUACUUUUAAAAUUUGGUUCAGCCGAUCACACUGGAAGAGGAUCAGAUGACAAUAUCAUAUCCAAGUGGGAAGAGGACAGCUCUAAUUGUGAAUGAGAUUCAUCAGAAAUUAUGCAAAGCUAUUUUUAAAUCACUAAAUGUUGAAAAAACUGUGCUGGAAGUGCUGACCAUCUCCAACCCAGAGGAUGUUGUGACUGCAGCAGCUAAGGUUGUAC